AUGAAUCCAAAUCUUUGAUAACUCAAGAACAGGUGAACGUGGAGAGUUCCAACUUACCAUGGAAAUAAUCUUUUUGGAAAUGCUAGGGUUAAAAUGUUGAUUUUGAGUUAAUGAAGUGUUGUGACUGUUUAAAGAACGCUGUUUGGAGCAUCAGCCAUGGGAAAUCUCUUCCCAAUACACACUUAUACUGUGCAACUGUCCAAAGGCCUGAUCAUGACAUGCCCCAAACUCCUAUCAUAGGUGUGGAUCGAAUGUAAUCAGUACACAUAUGCAUACACCGCAUGUAAGUGCAGUUUUCCCAAAUUGCUAGGACACUGUGACGGAACUAGCCAGGGAGCAGGCACUUUGUUUCCUUUUCCUCUUUAUCCCUUUAAAAAAUAAUCCUAGGAAAUGAAAUGCAAGACCUGUAUUAAUGCAAUGCUAAAACUGCACAAUUA